rnacentral:lncRNA from 1 species
UUUUAGGACCGGUGUUAUAUGGUCUUGGCGGCCGCUCCCAAUCACCAGUCUGGCUGCCGCAUUCUGGAUUAGUUGCAGUUUCCGGGUCACCGUCAAAGGGGGCCCCACGGAGAGCACAUGGCAGUAGUCCAAGCGGGAGAUAACCAGAGCAUGCACCACUCUGGCCAGACAGUUUGCGGGCAGGGAGGGUUUCAUCCUGCGUACCAGAUGGAGCUGCCCUGGACACAGAACUGACCUGCGCCUCCAUGGACAGCUGUGAGUCCAAAAUGACUACCAGGCUGCGCACCUGGUCCUUCGGGGGCACAGUGACCCCACUCAGGGCCAGGGAGUCCCCCACACCUGCCCGCCCCCUGUCCCCCCAAAACAGCACUUCUGUCUUGUUGGGAAGGAGGUGGGGUGUGUCUGAAGCCCCGAGGAAUGAAAAAAUGCGGCUCAACUCUGAAUUCCUGAAAACCCCAGGAUUGGCAGGGGAGCCAGAGGAGGGCGUUUUUUGCGUUUUCGGCAGAAAUCCUCUCCGCCCAGCUUGCUCUGCAAUUAAAACCACCACCCUCUCUUUGGGGUUUGGCCUGUGGGGCAGCUGGGGCCGGCCGCCAGCUGCCUGGGGGUGGCAUAGCUCGCCCACCAGAUGGAUUCAGGUUUUUUCCCCUGUUUUUCGAAUGGCUGGCCCCCAAAAGCCUCUUUAAGCACAGCGAAGGAAUGUCUGCAAUGCCUGUAGGAGAUGGGUAAAAAGGUAAAGGGACCCCUGACCAUUAGGUCCAGUCAUGGACGACUCUGGGGUUGCGGCGCUCAUCUCGCUUUAUUGGCCGAGGGAGCCGGCAUACAGCUUCUGGGUCAUGUAACCAGCAGGACUAAGCCGCUUCUGGCGAACCAGAGCAGCGCACGGAAAUGCCGUUUACCUUCCUGCAGGAGUGGUACCUAUUGAUCUACUUGCACUUUGACGUGCUUUCAAACUGCUAGGUUGGCAGGAGCAGGGACCGAGCAACGGGAGCUCACCCCGUCACGGGGAUUCGAACCGCUGACCUUCUGAUCGGCAAGUCCUAGGCUCUGUGGUUUAACCCACAGCGCCACCCACGUCCCUAAAGUCAAGAUAUAAAACCACAAAACACAGUGGUACCUUGGUUCCCAAACGCCUUGGUACUCAAACAACUUAUGGCGAACUUUUUUUGGAAGUUGAGGUCUGUCUGUUUUUGCUAUUUAUUUUGCGUUUUCGUUUAUGCGGCUCUUUUUCAUUUCGUUUUUGCGACUGUGCGGAACCCAGUCCGGCUACUGAUGGAUUGAUUGAUUGUGCGACUGCAGUCCAUUGUUUUAUUGCUUUCAUUUUAUGGAUCAAUGGUCUCGUUAGAUAGCAAAAUUCAUGUCAUAUUGCUGUUUUAGGGGUUGUUUUUAAAAGUCUGGAACAGAUUAAUCCGUCUUGCAUUGCUUUCUAUGGGAAAGCGCGCCUUGGUUUUGGAACGCUUUGGUUCUGGAACGGACAUCCGGAACGGAUUAAGUUUGAGAACUAAGGUACUACCAUAUUAUCACCCAAUGUUAGGGCCAGAGAGGCGGUUUAACUGACUCAUUAUGCAAGUUGUAGCUUCCUUUUAAUGUUAUAAUUGUAAUUAUGAAUCUGUUAAACACCCUGAGACCUUUUGAUGAUAAUAAAUAAAUAAAUAAAUAAUUUUUAAAUUACUAUUAUUAUGGCAUGAGAUGGUUUCAUUCUUCCAUUCCAUUCCGGUUGCGAUCCAGUCUCCGUUUUCCUCUUGGCCCGCUCAAGGAAACCCAAUCUUCCUGGCCGCUAAAGUCAGAGGGAAAUUCUGGUGUAGAUCACCGGAUCGGACUGUCGAUGACUCUCUAGCCAAGCAGGAUGGCAUAUGAUCAGGAAUAAAAAACGGGAGCAGAUUUCUCCCUCUACAUCAGUAUUUAUUAAUGUAUUUAUGUUUCUUUUGUUGAUUCCAUCCUUAUAUGCUGCACCCUGUAUUCUCAUCUUAAUGAAAGUGUGAAUUAUGUAUCCGUAAAUAAAAUAAACCCAUUUGCCACUGAUCUCACAGCUUUACCGUUUGGAUGCCUGCCUGCUUGUCUGGGCUGAAGUCAACAAAUAAAUCUGCAACUGAUAUUGCUGCCUUUUUAGGGGUGCGUGUGGGAACUUUACCGGUUGGUUGGAUGCCUGCCUGCUCUUCAGGGUAGAGGAGCAAAGCGAGUGACAAGCAAAACGCUGAUUUUUUUUUAAUAAAAAAGGCUGUUUAAUCUUGAUUAUUAUUAAUAAUAUUUUUAAUGCUGCCAGUUUUGCUCUUCGUGGAAAGGUGGGGGGCAGUUUAGCAGAAUAAAAUAACAUUCAUUCAUCUGCAAUCCAUUCAUUCACACUCCAGAGGCCCCCUAGAGGCCCGUUGCCAUGGAAGCCAUUCUCUUACUCUGUUGGGGGGGGAAAGAAAAUGAAAAAGGCUGGGUUGGGGGCUGGGGAGGGGUCCACGGUUUCUUGCAAACCUUCCUCCUUCUCCUAUGCAGAGCUCCAGGCUCUUUUAGGCCAGCAGCAGUUUUUUGUUUGCGACAGGCAGGCGAUCCAACAGGUAGAGCGUUACGCUAUCCCGGUUGAACCUCCACCUCGCCACAUUCUGCUGGGUCCCCAAGGCUCCAUUUGGGACGUGAAACCCUUUUUAUACGUCCCCCAACCCAGCCAGCUCAUCUUUGCUGCCAGAAAGCGAAGCGGAGAGGGUUUCUUUUUAGUUUUUGCUGGGUGGGCGAAUUAUUCCUCUCUGGGCUGUCCCUCUGCGGCUUGUGGAAUAGGCAGCCUGCGAUACUCCAGAGACCAAGAACAAAUUUUGCCUCCGAGGAGUCUCCCUGGUGAAUUGCAGCCUACAGCCUGGAAUUGUAUGUGUCUGCUCCCGCAAUUUGAUUUCCCGUAUUUCUCCCACUGACAGAUUUGAUGCGUGGCUGGACUCUUAACCCCACAAGAACAAGCUGGGAAAAGGUGUGUUGGGGGACGACGACCAGGCACUCUGCACGUGCUCAAACGAUCUCUUGCUUUUGCGUGCGUUUCUAAUUUAUUCUUACGUUCUUUGAGCAGAAAGUGUGCGCUUUGUAAAGAGGAGUAUAGGUGAACGAGGGCUUAAUUUGAGCCUGUACCGCUACCAAGAAUCUGCACCGAUGAAUUCACGGAAGUCCUAAGUCAGGCAAGGGUUCCUCUGAGCAUACACAGAGUGCAACUUGCCCUUGGCUUCGUCGUUAACGAGGAAUCGCUGAGAAAGGGGAUGCGAAAGCUUAAUGUUUCAUGAGUCACGGCGCCCAUUUUCUCUUGAAAUAAAGAUUAUUAUUAUUAUUAUUAUUGUAUUGUAUGUAUUUUGUAUGCAUAUUGUGUGUAAGCAGGCAUGUAUUUUGUAUGCCUAAAUUUUGCAUAAAAUUAUUCCAAAAUAUAAGAAGAAAGUUGGUAGAGAGAGCGCUUGGUCCGGCCAAAAUAAUUAUCUUUUGUCAGUGCAAAUCAACUGAAUUAGCAAUCUUUCUUUUCUGUCUAAACAUCUACCUUCCCCCUAGUCUGUCACAGACCACCAAGAUUUAAUCAGAUCUACAUUUUUUCCCCUCCUUUGGUGGGGAUUUUAAUACCUAAAUGGGAGCAAACAAUUGGGCUUCGACUUGGAAGAUAUUUUCCUAACUUCUCGUUGUUCUCUGGACAAUUAAUAUAACGCAGGAGGCCUGAAGUAUUUGGAAUCUGUAUCCCUAUAUCAUUUUUAUAUCCUUCAUAGGAGUCUGGUAGUCAUUUCUAAGCGCCGGUAUACUUAUUUGUACGAAUAUGGAGGAACUGAUAUCGACCACAUUAUAGUCUCUACAGUGGUACCUUGGCUCUCAAACUUAAUCCGUUCCAAAACCAAAGCGUUCCAAAACCAAGGCGCGCUGCUUUCCCAUAGAAAGCAAUGCAAAACGGAUCACUCCGUUCCAGGCUUUUGUUUAUUUCCUUGACAUCUGAUAAGAACAGAUACUACACUUGAUCUUAGCCAAAAGGCCGAGAAGCGAUUAUUUCCUUGACAUCUGGUGGGAGGGCGUUCCACAGGGCGGGCGCCACCACCAAGAAGGCCCUCGCCUGGUUCCCUGCAACCUCGCUUCUUGCAGGGAGGGAACUGCCAGAAGGCUCUCGGGAGAUGGACCCCGGUGUCCGGGGUGGAGACGCUCCUUCAGGUAUACUGGGCCGCGGCCGUUUAGGGCUUUCAAGGUCAGCACCAACACUUUUGAAUUGUGCUCAGAAAUGUCCUGGGAGCCAAUGGAGAUCUUUCUUUCAAAAACCACUCAACCGGUUGAAUCCUAGAAUUGCAGAGUCAAAAGGGACCACGGGGUCAUCUAGUCCAACCCCGUGUGAUGGAGGUUUCGUGCAACCAACAGCCCUGAGAUUAAGAGUCUACCUGCUCUAUCAACCGAGAACAAGCAGGGUUCACAGUACCACUGAUCCAUGUUUCAUUCUGAACCAUAUUAUAAGACAUAUAGUUCAAGCUAUGGUUUUCCCAGUAGUGAUGUAUGGAAGUGAGAGCUGGACCAUCAAGAAGGCUGAUCGCCGAACAAUGGAUGCUUUUGAAUUCUGGUGCUGGAGGAGACUCUUGAGAGUCCCAUGGACUGCAAGAAGAUCAAACCUCUCCAUUCUGAAGGAAAUCAGCCCUGAGUGCUCACUGGAAGGACAGAUCGUGAAGCUGAGGCUCCAAGACUUUGGCCACCUCCUGAGAAGAGAAGACUCCCUGGAAAAGACCCUGAUGCUGGGAAAGAUGGAGGGCACAAGGAGAAGGGGACGACAGAGGACGAGAUGGUGGGACAGUGUUCUCGAAGCUACCAGCAUGAGUUUGACCAAACUGCGGGAGGCAGUGGAAGACAGGAGUGCCUGGCGUGCUCUGGUCCAGCGGAUCACGAAGAGUCAGAAACGACUCAACGACUAAACAACAAUAUACCAAGAAAAUUAAGAACAAUCUCUAUGUAGCUUGUAUGGAUCUUUCGACUCCGUUGACUGAAAUAGGCUGUGGGAGGAAUUUCAAAUUGCUAACAUUGGCGGCUUAUUGACCCAAGAACGGUGAUAGCAAUGCAGAGAUGAGGGUCAGAGUUGGUUUGGUACGGCGAAAGCUUUUAAAACGUCACGGCGAGGUUGCCUUCUGGCUCCCGCGGUUUUUAACUUGCAUAUUAAUGAUUUGGCGCCAAAUUGUGGUGCCCAGAACUGGACACAGGACUCCAGCUGUGGUCUGAACAAGGCAGAAUAGAUUGGGACUAUGACUUCCCUUUAAGUCUAAAGACUUCUGUUGAUGCCGCUUAGAAUAGCAUUCGGUUUUUUUGCUGCUCCAUCACACUGUGGGCUCAUGUUUAGCUUGUGGUCCACCGAGACCCCUAGAUCACGGGUAGGCAAACUAAGGCCCGGGGGCCGGAUCCGGCCCAAUCGCCUUCUCAAUCCGGCCCGCGGACGGUCUGGGAAUCAGCGUGUUUUCACAUGAGUAGAAUGUGUCCUUUCAUUUAAAAUGCAUCUCUGGGUUAUUUGUGGGGCAUAGGAAUGCCUUCAUUUCCCCCCCCCAAAAAAAUACAGCCCGCCCCCCCACAAGGUCUGAGGGACAGGGGACCGGCCCCCUGCUGAAAAAGUUUGCUGACCCCUGUCCUGGAUCCUUUUCACACAUAUUGCUAGUAAGCCACGUGUUCCCACUCCAUCUUACAACCGUGCAACUCUUCCUACCACAGGGCCUAGGUCUUGCCGAUCAGAAGGUCGGCGGUUCGAAUCCCCGCAAUGACAGGCUGAGCUCCCGUUGCUUGGUCCCUGCUCCUGCCCACCUAGCAGUUCAAAAGCAUGUCAAAGUGCAAGCAGAUAAAUAGGUACCGCUCCAGCGGGAAGGUAAACGGCGUUUCCAUGCGCUGCUCUGGUUCGCCAGAAGCAGCUUAGUCCUGCUGGCCACAUGACCCGGAAGCUGGACGCCGGCUCCCUCGGCCAAUGAAGCGAGAUGAGCGCCGCAACCCCAGAGUCGGCCACGACUGGACCUAAUGGUCAGGGGUCCCUUUACCUUUACCUAAGUGCAGAACCUGACAUUGGUCCCUGCUGAAAUUCAUAUUUUUUUUAGUUUGGGCCCUGUUCUCCAAUCUGUUCAGGUCAUAUUAUGGGCCUCUCUGGGGCAUCUUCCUCUUCCAGGGAUGGUGCCGUCCAGAUGUGGCAAAACAACAGCAGCCAGCAGGCCCAAUGGGCCUGGGAAGUCCCGCAACAUGUGGUGGGCCACGCUCCAAGCCCUGAGCUUUGCCUGCUCCCAAGUUGCCAGCGUCUGUCUGGACAGGGCUGGAGAGAAGCUCGAUUUCCCGGUAGGGAUGGGUGGGGCCCCAAUUGAGGACAUCCUGUACCCCGGGCCCGAGGGUGUCGUGAGCAACAGCGAUCCCACCACCUCCCUAAAAGCGUGUGCGCGCACAGACACACAAUUGCCGCACAGCACAGGAAGAACAUUGUGUUGAGACAGACCGGGGAGGACAGAGUGGAAAAUUACACAAUGUACAAAAGCAGUCAAGAACAUCCAAACACCACAUUGCAACCCCUUAAAAGAUUUCUACACAGGUUAAGCAAGGCUUCCCGAACUGUGGGAGUAGAACUCUUCCAGGAAUAGGGUACCCAGAUCUCUGUAUUUUAUUUUAUUUUUGGUCGGGUUGCCAACUGACCAGAAAAACCCUAGCCAGGUGUGCUCCUGUGCCUUUAGCGGGUGGGCCUAGCUGCUGCAGCAGCAGCCAGCAGGUGAUGCCGCCCCGGGUACAGAGGUGAGCAAGGCCUCCCUUUCGCACCCACAGAUAGCGCCGACACGAAAGGCGGAGGAGCGGUAGUGGGUGGGAAGGUUGGCAACCGUAUCACAACUAUCAGAUUGGCUUGGGAGGACCUUGAGGUGGUCUGGGUAGGGUUCCCAGCCAAUCAGAUCUAUCGAUUGCUUAGCAUUUGUAGGUUGUUUUUCUACAGGUGAGGAAGUUGGCAACCCUAAAUCUAGGUCGUGGGAGGGAGGGGAAGGAGAAAAACAGAAUGCAGUCUUUUGGGGGAAGAGAUCUGGGGCUGCAAUUCCUGAGUCUUGGUCAUGGGGGGGGGGGAGAGACGGCGGCAAGUAGAAAAUGGCGGAGGAGCAGGGCCAGGAGGGGAAAGUUGGCAACCCUAAAUCUGGGUCACAGGAAGGGAGAGAUGCAGAAUAAAGCCUUUUUGGGGAAAGAGAUCAAAUCUGGGGGUGCCAGUCAGGCUCACAGGAGAGAGACGGCUCAAGCAGAGAAAAAGGGGCAGAGGAGCAGAGCCAGGAGGAGAGAGUUGGCAACCCUAAAUCUGGGUCACAGGAAGGGAGAGAAGCAGAACAAAGCCUUUUUGGGGAAAGAGAUCGAAUUUGUCAGGCUCCCUGGAGAGAGACGGCUCAAGCAGAGGAGCAGAGCCAGGAGGAGAGAGUUGGCAACCCUAAUUCUGGGGCACAGGAAGGGAGGAUAGCAGAAUAAAGGCCUUUGGUGAAGAGAUCCAGCCUAGGGACGCCGUUCCUGGGUUUCGGUGUCAAGGGGGAAAGGGAGAGACAGCUCUCAGAGGGAACGGCGCACAAACAUACACACACCCAGCUCAGGCUUGCGUUGCCAGCUGCGUCAACCCGGCGCAUGACGCACUGUUACCUGUGGGUCGCAGCUAUAUAUAUCUCUCUCUUGAGAGCCAGGACCUCCUCCUCUUCCUCCCCCCCCCCAGUUUGCCUGACUAAACAAAACUCUGGUUAGAGAGUCAAGGGCGUUGCAGGGUGUGGGGUCGACGUGGGGCAGGGCUAUGAGCCUGCCGGUUUGGCGGCGCAACGCCCAACAUGCGCCCAAAGGUCUUGCCUGGGAUCUGUGCCAACACAUCUUCCAAACAGGACGGGUUUAGCAAGGAGACGAUAAAGGUGGGGCAGUUUAGGUGGGAUUUGAGCCAAAGGCGGUUGUUGGCGUGGAGCUGGUUGGGGGGCGGCUUGGCCUGGCCCCACACCACAGCGCUAUGGGGUGGAGAAGUCCUGGCGAACACCAGCUGCGGGUGGGCAGAGGAUUUCUGCUUGGUGAACCACCCCCUCUGAAGAAGAUUCUGGCUGUGGGGUGAGGCCCACAACCUGCCCAGUUCUCCCAGGGGCCAAAUUCCCCUCAAAGCCUAGAAAUGGUGGUAGACUGUGCCUGGGCCUGGAGGUUCCAUCAGAACAGAAGAGCCUAGCUGUAUCCGGUCCAGCAUCUUCUUCUGACAGCAGCCAACCAGAUGUCUCUUUGGGGAAGUCUGAGCGCAAAAGCAAUGCUCCCCCUCCUGCGAUUUCCAGAAUUUGGGAUUCAGGGGGCUUCUAAAGCGCUAAAGGGCUCUCAAGUUUUUCAGCAGAGGCCCCGUGGAGAAUGUCAGGGCCAAAUGUGGUCCUUUCUACUUGGUGGCGCUGUGGGUUAAACCACAGAGCCUAGGACUUGCCGAUCAGAAGGUCGCCGGUUCGAAUCCCCGCAACGGGGUGAGCUCCCGUCGCUCGGUCCCUGCUCCUGCCAACCUAGCAGUUCGAAAGCACGUCAAAGUGCAAGUAGAUAAAUAGGCACCGCUCCGGCGGGAAGGUAAACGGUGUUUCCGUGCGCUGCUCUGGUUCUCCAGAAGCGGCUUAGUCCUGCUGGCCACAUGACCCGGAAGUUGUACUCCGGCUCCCUCGGCCACUAAAGCGAGAUGAGCGCCGCAACCCCAGAGUCGGUCAUGACUGGACCUAAUGGUCAGGGCUCCCUUUACCUUUACUUGGUCGACAGGCCACACCCCUCUCUUCAGGCCACACCCCUCUCUUCAGGCCACACCCUCCAUUCAGGCCACUCCCUCCCUUCAGGCCACACCUCCUCUCUUCAGGCCACACUCCUCCAUUCAGGCCACACCCCUCCGUUCAGGCCACACUUCCUCUUCAGGCCACUCCUCCUCCCUUCAGGCCACACCCCUCUCUUCAGGCCACACCCCUCCAUUCAGGCCACGCCUCCUCUCUUCAGGCCACACCUCCUCCCUUCACUCCACUCCCCUCUCCAGGCCACACCCCCCGUUCAGGCCACACCUCCUCUUCAGGCCACUCCUCCUACCUUCAGGCCACACCCCUCCCUUCAGGCCACACCCCCUCGCUGGCCUUGUUUUGCACCCACCUCCAAAUUCAUUUUCGGGUCUGUGCGUGUGUCUAGAAGCUCUACCUCUCUUUCAAAUCAGAAUGGAUGGCGGCUAAUGGAUUGAGGUUGAAUCCUGACAAGACAGAAGGACUGUUUUUGGGGGACAGGAGUUGGGCAGGUGUGGAGGACUCCCUGGUCCUGAAUGACCCUCCCUGCCCGCAGACUGUCUUGCCAGAGUGGUGCAUGCUCUGGUUAUCUCCCACUUGGACUACUGCAAUGCGCUCUACGUGGGGCUACCUUUGAAGGUGACCCGGAAACCACAACUAAUCCAGAAUGCGGCAGCUAGACUGGGGACUGGGAGCGGCCGCCGAGACCACAUAACACCAGUCUUGAAAGACCUACAUUGGCUCCCAGGACGUUUCCGAGCACAAUUCAGAAUGUUGGUGCUGACCUUUAAAGCCCUAAACGGCCUCGGCCCAGUAGACCUGAAGGAGCGUCUCCACCCCCAUUGUUUUGCCCAGACACCUGGGUCCAUCUCCUGAGGGCCUUCUGGCGGUUCCCUCGCUGCGAGAAGCCAAGUUACAGGGAACCAGGCAGAGGGCCUUCUCGGUGGUGGCGCCCGCCCUGUGGAACGCCCUCGCACCAGAUGUCAAAGAGAACAACAACUACCAGACUUUUAGAAGACAUCUGAAGGCAGCCCUGUUUAUGGAAGCUUUUAAUAUUUGAUGUAUUAUAGAAUUUUAAUAUUUUUUUGGAAGCCGCCCAGAGUUGCUGGGGAAGCCCAGCCAGAUGGGCGGGGUAUAAAUAAAUUAUUAUUAUUAUUAUUAUUAUUAUUAUUAUUAUUGAAGGGACCCCCAACAGCCAUCUAGCCCCACCUUCUGCGACGCAGGACUCUCAGCUAAAGCACCCCGGACCAACGGCCUGCUUGAAACCUCCGCCAAAUUCGCCACAGCUGAAAUGCGCAUCCAUCGCCCCCGUUCCCCUAGAAGGGAGCGUGGUGCCUGCACAAGACGCUAGUCCUCAAUGUUCCGAUUUAAACCGAGAGACGGCUUCUGCCAAGCCAGGGCCAUCACUGUUCUCGUCUCCCCAGGCCAGGUUUCCAAGCGGCGCAUUGCUCUCUGCCACACGCAGUUCUCAUCCCCUCCUCCCAGGCGCCCCCCCUUGCUUCCCCGAAUGAUGCUGAUUUGGGGGGGGGGCAGUGCAGACAAAGAGAGACGACGGAGUGCGAAAGAGCCGAGCCCACCCCCCCCUCCAAGCAGCUGCGUCAGUGUGCCAAAUGUGUGGGCUCCCCGGUGACAGCAGCGGCUGCGUUCCAUGUGCUCUAAAUGGGCACAUGGCAGCCGAGUGGUGCAUGGGCAAAGAGGGGGGGCGAGGAGGAGGUAACGCGAAGGGCAGGUGACGCCGGUUGACGGUGCUUCAACAGCGGCAGCUGCAAAACCUCCCCAGCUUCUCUGAAAAGAGCCAUCUGGGGGCCCAAAAAUGCUGAUUUUUUUUUCUUUUUAAUGCACAUCUCAGAAGUGAAGCGACAGUCUUUUUCCCCCCACAAGGCUUUACAGAAGGCGAGCUUCUCUCUUAAGAAAAGGGGGGAAUCUCUGCUUUUCCUGUCUGCCUAAUCCUGAGCGAAAGCGUGAGACUCUCAAGGUUGUGGGUUCGAGUCCGGACUUGCGUGAAAAAUUGGGGUUGGACUAGAUGACCCUGAAGGUCUCUUCCAAAUCAGAGGGAAAGGCACUCUGUGUAUCCUCAGAGGCACAGAACCCUCCCUUGGUGUGACUUUAAAGCCCCUCUUCUCCGAUCACCCUCCAAUCAUAUUCUUUACUUUUUUCUGCAAAGCAGAAUUUAUACCCGUCUGGGAAGAGGAGAUCCUGCAAUAUUGUUUUGGAACGUACGAAAAGUUGAAUCGGGCUGUUUGACGCAAUUUUCAUUCAUUUGCAGAUGAAUCCUCUGUGUGCGCAAACGGGCACCUUUUUAAAAAAUAUCAAUGCUUCAAUAAAUUAAUUUAAAACUAAGAGAAUCCUCAUGCAGGGCUCGUGAGAAGACGGGUGAUCUGCGAUUUCAAUGAAGACCAGAACCUCCAGACUCUUUUUAUAUGAUCUGGGAUUAUACAUCGUUCUCGAGGCAAACUUUGUCACAAACCUGGUCAGUGUGGAACUAGACCUGAUAACCAGAACAAGACUGAUAUUCACCAUUCGGACUUUGUAUCUUCACCUGUGUGCCUCUUUCAAACCUUUCAAAAAGUUAUAUAAAGUUAUAUUUCUUUUAUUUAAAAGCAUUUCUCAACGGCUUAAUCUUUUGAAAACUCUUAGUUGUAUAUAAAAAAUACAACUUUUGUGUGUGUGUGUGAAGAACCUUAACACAGCCUCAUAAAAACAGAGAUGUACUUUGAAAAGCACCCAUACCCUCAUUUAAUUUAAAUGUAUCAUACUCACAGCUCCCCCCCAGAGAAUUCUGGGAACUGUAGUUCAUUAAUGGUCCUGAGAACUGAUAAACUUUUGAUUGCCUUUGCAUACCCUCCAAGAUUUCUUUGAUGAAAAUAAAGGGACCCCUGACCAUUAGGUCCAGUCGUGGCCGACUCUGGGGUUGCGGCGCUCAUCUCGCUUUAUUGGCCGAGGGAGCCGGCGUACAGCUUCCGGGUCAUGUAGCCAGCAGGACUAAGCUGCUUCUUGCGAACCAGAGCAGCGCGCGGAAACGCCGUUUACCUUCCCGCCGGAGCGGUACCUAUUUAUCUACUUGCACUUUUGUGUGCUUUCGAAUUGCUAGGUUGGCAGGAGCAGGGACUGAGCAACGGGAGCUCACCCCGUCACGGGGAUUCGAACCACCAACCUUCUGAUUGGCAAGUCCUAAGAGGCUCAGUGGUUUAGACCACAGCGCCACCCGCGUCCCCUGUUUGAUGAAAAUAGGGACGUUCUAAAUAUAAAUAAUAAUAAUAGUAAUAAUUUUAUUAUUAUUUAUAUCCUGCCCAUCUGACUGGGUUGCCCCAGUCACUCUGGGUGGCUUCAAACAUAUCUAAAAACAUAAUAAAACACUAAACUUUAAAAAAACUUCCCUAUACAGGGCUGCCUUCAGGCAACUUCCAAAAUUUAUAUAACUAUUUAUCUCCUUAUUUGGGGGUCACAUAACUGUACCCAGUACUUUUUUCUGGGGAUACGCACACCCCUAAAAAUCUUUGUACUUUUGUCCAUUCAACCGUAUUUAUUUCCCCCUAUUUGAACUAUAAAAUGGUGAUUUUCUCGAGUCAAAGUGAGAGUACCCCUAAACAUUUAUUAUUAUUAUUUUUUAGGAAAAAAGCACUGGCUGUACCCGCCAACAUUUCUCG